GGUUCUCUCCGAAAUAGCUUUAGGGCUAGCCUCAAGUGAUGAUUAUUGGAGGUAGAGCACUGUUUGGACGAGGGGCCCCUCUCGGGUUACCGAAUUCAGACAAACUCCGAAUGCCAAUUAAUUUAACUUGGGAGUCAGAACAUGGGUGAUAAGGUCCGUGUUCGAAAGGGAAACAGCCCAGACCACCAGCUAAGGUCCCAAAAUAUAUGUUAAGUGGAAAAGGAUGUGGCGUUGCCCAGACAACUAGGAUGUUGGCUUAGAAGCAGCCAUCAUUUAAAGAGUGCGUAAUAGCUCACUAGUCGAGUGACACUGCGCCGAAAAUGUACCGGGGCUAAACAUAUUACCGAAGCUGUGGAUUGUCCUUUGGACAAUGGUAGGAGAGCGUUCUAAGGGCGUUGAAGCAUGAUCGUAAGGACAUGUGGAGCGCUUAGAAGUGAGAAUGCCGGUGUGAGUAGCGAAAGACGGGUGAGAAUCCCGUCCACCGAUUGACUAAGGUUUCCAGAGGAAGGCUCGUCCGCUCUGGGUUAGUCGGGUCCUAAGCUGAGGCCGACAGGCGUAGGCGAUGGAUAACAGGUUGAUAUUCCUGUACCACCUAUAAUCGUUUUAAUCGAUGGGGGGACGCAGUAGGAUAGGCGAAGCGUGCGAUUGGAUUGCACGUCUAA
rnacentral:rRNA from 1 species